UGUCAGUCUUAGGAUCUCUGUUUUAAUGUUAAUGCUGGUCACUUGUACCUGAACUUCCUAAGAGAGAGGGUAUAGUGAGGUAUGUCUGACCCCCACCCCACCCCACUUCCUGUCAUGACCUGAACUAGUUUUUCAGGUUUCUUUCGAAUCUCCUUUGUUGAGAGGGGAUGCAUUCAGUCACUUGGGGGACUUUUAUUUUAUUUUUGGUUUACAAAAGUGAGGGAUAUCUGAGUCUAGAGCAGACUGAAGAGGAGGGGAAGUACAGUCCCCAGAUAAAGGCCUUCAGAUGUCAUCUCUCACUAGCAUGCAGGCCACAGCCCAGAGGGAUUUUCUCCAGGUGGGUUUGACUGCACCAGAUGUUCACAGAGAGGACUGGGGAGAAUCCUGGGGAAGCUGUUCCCAGGUGCUGUCUGGGAGAGGGUAGGAGCCACCACUGCAAGAAUCCCACCCAGACUCAUCUCCCCAUCGCACCACGGAGAACAAAAGCCAUGCACUGUUGCUACUUACCACAUUCUGUCCUGACCAUCUCCUGAUGCCUACUAUCAAGCACAUGGAAUCUAUUUCCUGUCGAAACCUCUGCAGUGUAAAAUGUCAUAAUCUUCCUUCUACAAUUAACUUCAUAAGAAGAGCAAGCACUACGGCAGAUGUUACAACAUUUUGUUUUUCUUUGAAUUGUCAUGUGAUAUAUUACACAGUCAUACCUUACUCUGUGCAAGAAUUUGGAUCCUGGAACCAAGUAAUAAUUUAAAUUUAGAAAUCUAAUAAAUAUUUUAACUUCAUAGCACUGUUUAAAGUUAUACACCCAUGAAUAUUUUAGAACUAAAAUGAAGACUUCUUCAUUUAUAUGAUUAAAAAUUGUACUGUUACUGUACACAGUUGCUUCAACUUAUAUGAUUGAAAAUUGUACUGUUACUGUACACUAUUGUCAAAACUUCCUUUUGCUUUUAAUAAAAAGCAAUUUCACCUCACAGGUUUACCUUUCUUUAGCACUUUCAUUGAAAUAACUGAAAUAUGUGUGUAAGCGUGUGUGUGUGUGU
rnacentral:lncRNA from 10 species